ACGGAAGGCAGCAGUGGGGAAUAUUGCACAAUGGGCGAAAGCCUGAUGCAGCGACGCCGCGUGAGUGAAGAAGGAUCUCGGUAUGUAAAGCUCUAUCAGCAGGGAAGAAAAUGACGGUACCUGACUAAGAAGCCCCGGCUAACUACGUGCCAGCAGCCGCGGUAAUACGUAGGGGGCAAGCGUUAUCCGGAUUUACUGGGUGUAAAGGGAGCGUAGACGGUUUGGCAAGUCUGAAGUGAAAUGCGGGGGCUCAACUCCUGAACUGCUUUGGAAACUGUCGAACUAGAGUGCAGGAGAGGUAAGUGGAAUUCCUAGUGUAGCGGUGAAAUGCGUAGAUAUUAGGAGGAACACCAGUGGCGAAGGCGGCUUACUGGACUGUAACUGACGUUGAGGCUCGAAAGCGUGGGGAGCAAACAGGAUUAGAUACCCUGGUA
rnacentral:rRNA from 2 species